ensembl:snoRNA
AAGACUAUACUUUCAGGGAUCAUUUCUAUAGUUUCUAACUUGAGAAAUGUGUUUCUAAAUUGUGUGGUCUCGCUAACCACGAUGAAGAGGUAUUGAUACUCUUACCUGAGCGCGAAACUAGUAUAGAGUGAUGAAUUUAUUCAUGGGCUCUUUACAAUUGAUGACCGUUCACUGCUUCCUAGGGAGUAGCGAGGGUGAGAGUAUGAUCAGAGUGGUA